CCUACGGGAGGCAGCAGUGGGGAAUAUUCCACAAUGGGCGAAAGCCUGAUGGAGCGACGCCGCGUGAGUGAAGAAGGGCUUCGGCUCGUAAAGCUCUUUUCUAGAGGACGAAUGGCGCAUUGGAUGCGCAGGGACGGUACUCUGGGAAUAAGCCACGGCUAACUACGUGCCAGCAGCCGCGGUAAU
rnacentral:rRNA from 1 species